UCUAACUCAAUUUGAAGAAACCAAGAACCUUGAAAAAAGAUUUGAGGAAAUGAUAACAAGAAUGGACAACUUAGAUAGGAAUAUGAGUGAAUUGAUGGAGCUGAAAAACACAACAUGAGAACUUCGUGAAGCAUGCACAAAUUUCAACAGCCAAAUUGACCAAGAAGAAGAAAGGAUAUCAGAGGUCGAAGAUCAACUCAAUGAAAUAAAAUGAGAAGGCAAAAUUAGAGAAAAAAACACAAAAAGAAUGAACAAAGUCUCCAAGAAAGGUGGGACUACAUGAAGAGACCUAAUCUACGUUUGAUAGGUGUACCUGAAUGUGACAAAGAGAAUGAAUCCAAGCUGGAAAAUACUCUUCAGGAUAUUAUCCAGGAAAACUUCCCCAACCUAGCAAGGCAGGCCAAUAUUCAAGUCCAGGAAAUACAGAGAACACCACAAAGAUAUUCCUCAAGAAGAGCAACCCCAAGGCACAUAAUCGUCAGAUUCACCAGGGUUGAAAUGAAGGAAAAAAUGCUAAGGGAAGCCAGAGAGAAAGGUCAGGUUACCCACAAAGGGAAGCCCAUCAGACUCACAGCAGAUCUCUCAGCAGAAACUCUACAAGCCAGAAGAGAGUGGGGGCCAAUAUUCAACAUCCUUAAAGAAAACAACUUUCAACCCAGAAGUCAUUAGAGAAAUGCAAAUCAAAACUACAUUGAGAUACCAUCUCAUGCCAAUUAGAAUGGUGAUCAUUAAAAAAUCUGGAGACAACAGAUGCUGGAGAGGAUGUGGUGAAAUAGGAACACUUUUACACUGCUAGUGGGAGUGUAUAUUAGUUCAACCAGUGUGGAAGACAGUGUGGCAAUUCCUCAAGGACCUAGAAAUAGAAAUUCCAUUUGACCCAGCAAUCCCAUUACUGGGUAUAUAUCCAAAGGAUUAUAAAUCGUUCUACUAUAAGGACACAUGCACACGAAUAUUCAUUGCAGCACUGUUUACAAUAGCAAAGACCUGGAAUCAACCCAAAUGCCCAUCGAUGAUAGACUGGACAGGGAAAAUGUGGCACAUAUACACCAUGGAAUAUUAUGCAGCAAUCAAAAACGAUGAGUUCGUAUCCUUUGUAGGGACAUGGAUGAACCUGGAGAACAUCAUUCUCAGCAAACUGACACAAGAACACAAAAUGAAAUACCGCAUGUUCUCACUCAUAGGCAGGUUUCUCCUUGGGACAACACUGCAGCAUCAAAGUUCCCCAGAGCUGGAACUUCAUGGAGACCUGGACACCCAGCACUGUGCAGAGGGCAACAUCUUGGAUAUGCCUCUUAAGGGAUGAAUAGACUGGGUCUCGCUAUGUUGCCCAGGAUGGAUGGCCUCAAACUCCUGGGUUCAAGCGAUCCACUUCAGCCUCUCAAGUAGUUGGUACUACAGGCAUGAGCCAGUGCAGCCUGGUAUAAUAAUAUUAAUUAAACUCCAU